UACAGAGGAGCCAAGCGUUGUUCGGAAUUACUGGGCGUAAAGGGCGCGUAGGCGGCCCUCUAAGUCGAACGUGAAAUCCCCGGGCUCAACCCGGGAACUGCGUCCGAUACUGGAGGCUGAAUCCGGGAGAGGGAUGUGGAAUUCCAGGUGUAGCGGUGAAAUGCGUAGAUAUCUGGAGGAACACCGGUGGCGAAGGCGACAUCC
rnacentral:rRNA from 1 species